CCUACGGGAGGCAGCAGUGGGGAAUUUUGGACAAUGGGCGAAAGCCUGAUCCAGCAAUGCCGCGUGUGGGAAGAAGGCCUUCGGGUUGUAAACCACUUUUGUACGGAACGAAACGGUUCGCUUUAAUACAGUGGGCUAAUGACGGUACCGUAAGAAUAAGCACCGGCUAACUACGUGCCAGCAGCCGCGGCAAUACGUAGGGUGCGAGCGUUAAUCGGAAUUACUGGGCGUAAAGCGUGCGCAGGCGGUUAUAUAAGACAGUUGUGAAAUCCCCGGGCUCAACCUGGGAAUUGCAUCUGUGACUGUAUAGCUAGAGUACGGUAGGGGGGGAUGGAAUUCCGCGUGUAGCAGUGAAAUGCGUAGAUAUGCGGAGGAACACCGAUGGCGAAGGCAAUCCCCUGGACCUGUACUGACGCUCAUGCACGAAAGCGUGGGGAGCAAACAGGAUUAGAUACCCUGGUAGUCCACGCCCUAAACGAUGUCAACUGGUUGUUGGGUGCAUUAGUACUCAGUAACGAACUAACGCGUGAAGUUGACCGCCUGGGGAGUACGGCCGCAAGGUUGAAACUCAAAUGAAUUGACCGGNNGAGAGNGCGAGACGACGACGAGGGAGAGG
rnacentral:rRNA from 1 species